AGUUAACAAAGAACACUGAGGGGACACGCACAGAGGAGGGAUUUGUGCUCAGGAAGGUCACUCAGUGGAUUAGGUUUGAACCUCUUGGAGCCAGGGACUGUGUCUGAAAACACCUACGGUGCUAACUCAAGAUAUGUGACCUUAAGGAUCUUGAGAAGAAGAGAUCGUCCUGAAUUACCUGGUAGGCGCUAAAUCCAAUGACAUGUCCUUAAAAGAGAAACCCAGGAAGAUAGGGAUGCA